GCCAUUAUGAUAACUACAUGGUAAUGUCUCAGUGUGGUUUCACUUUCAUGAAAUAAGUGACUGAAUAUCCUUUUUGAAGAAGAAAUGGAGACUAAAAGAUUCCUGGAAGCUGUAUACUUUUUGUUUAGUUGUUUUGCUGUCCAAUAUCUAAGCUAUGAAGAAUGAUUGCAAGUGGUUCUCAAAAUCUGGGAAACAUGUAAUGGAGCAGGAGAUGCUCCCGUGACAUUCAAGUUUAUAACCAAGAAUUCCCAUGUCAGGUAAUGAUCCAUUUAAGGAGAUUCUGACCCUUCAGAGUGGAGGCAAAGAAGUGGAAACAAUACCAACUCACACUGCUGAGGAAUGGCUACAAAAUGAGAGCAAGAUGAGUUGUAAAACCUUGCAUACACAGAAGUCCGGAAAAUGGAUCUUGACCAAUAGCUCAGUGAAGCCAUUGUUAGUAUCAUGUCAGUAACACGAUCCUCUCCACGUGCAGGCCCCUUAGUUCUUUCAUAUUUGCCACAAGAGCACUGAUAACAAAUGAAUAAACUUUAUUUA